GUAUGGGGAUCUGCCCGAUAGAGGGGGAUAACUACUGGAGACGGUGGCUAAUACCGCAUAAUGUCUACGGACCAAAGCAGGGGCUCUUCGGACCUUGCACUAUCGGAUGAACCCAUAUGGGAUUAGCUAGUAGGUGGGGUAAAGGCUCACCUAGGCGACGAUCUCUAGCUGGUCUGAGAGGAUGAUCAGCCACACUGGGACUGAGACACGGCCCAG
rnacentral:rRNA from 1 species